rfam:Sphingobacteriales bacterium 44-61 SCNpilot_expt_1000_bf_scaffold_129, whole genome shotgun sequence.
CAGCGUUUCCCGGGGUGUUUGCAGCCAGUAGCUGCGAUCUGAGAUUAUACCCGUAAACCUGAUCAGGGUAAUGCCUGCGCAGGGAAGGAGUCUUUCGUAUGUC